rnacentral:misc_RNA from 1 species
GAACUAGACCAGUUCAUGGAUACUGAAUACGAACAAGUCAAUAAACCAUGGAGCGAGUUAUACAAGGAAACGACGCUAGGGAACAAGCUAAUGGUGAACGUUGGGAUGGAGGAUCAGGAGGUACCACUUCUCCCUUCAAACUUCCUGACGAAAGUCCGAGUUGGACUGAGUGGAGGAUACAUAACGAUGAGACGGAUUCGAAUAAAGAUAAUCCCCUUGGUUUCAAGGAAAGCUGGGGUUUCGGGAAAGUUGUAUUUAAGAGAUAUCUCAGAUACGACAGGACGGAAACUUCAUUGCACAGAGUCCUUGGAUCUUGGACGGGAGAUUCGGUUAACUAUGCAGCAUCUCGAUUUCUCGGUGUCAACCAGAUCGGAUGUACCUAUAGUAUUCGGUUUCGAGGAGUUAGUGUCACCAUUUCUGGAGGGUCGAGAACUCUUCAGCAUCUCUGUGAGAUGGCAAUUCGGUCUAAGCAAGAACUGCUACAGCUUGCCCCAGUCGAAGUGGAAAGUAAUGUAUCAAGAGGACGCCCUGAAGGUGCUGAAGCCUUCAAAGAAGAAAGCGAGUAGGACAGACUCUUCAGUCUGAUUCUGUGGAAAUGAGAGUAAUUCUGACAUAGCAUACAGGUUACUCGUGUUGGGUUCUAGAUGUUAUGAUGACGAGCUGGUCGGGCUCCGCACGGGUUUGGUCGCCCGGGGAUGGAGAUAUGGAAAGGGUCUCGUGUGCUGUUAGUCAGUCGAAAGACGUGCUUGCAACAUGGGCCUAUAACCAGAUAAGUCAUAGCAAUACUAGCCAACAUGAAUUGGAUUCCUGUUUACGAAAGUUAGGUGUCACUUGUGGAGACAGAGUUAGACACGGUUGAUCUCACCCUUCGGGGGGGCUAUAGAGAUCACUGGAAGCACUACCGGACAACCGGAACAUUGCAGCAAUGCAGCCC